UACAGAGGUCUCAAGCGUUGUCCGGAGUUACUGGGCGUAAAGCGCGCGCAGGCGGCUUCAUUAGUCUGGCGUGAAAGCCCCCGGCUCAACCGGGGAGGGUCGUCGGAGACUGUGGAGCUUGAGGGCGGUAGGGGCUGGUGGAAUUCCCGGUGUAGUGGUGAAAUGCGUAGAGAUCGGGAGGAACACCUGUGGCGAAGGCGGCCAGCUGGGCCGACCCUGACGCUGAGGCGCGAAGGCGUGGGGAGCGAACGGG
rnacentral:rRNA from 1 species